rnacentral:rRNA from 1 species
CCGUGCGAAGGUAGCAUAAUAAAUUGUUCUCUAAAUAGGGACUAGUAUGAAAGGCACCACGAGGGCUUAACUGUCUCCCUUUUCCAAUUAAUGAAACUGAUCUUCUCGUGAAGAAGCGAGAAUAAAAAUAUAAGACGAGAAGACCCCAUGGAGCUUUAAACUCAUCAUCAUUUACUUUUUUAACAUCAUCACAUAUAGUAAAAAUGUUAACUGAUAGUUUUCGGCUGGGGUGACCCUGGAGAAAAACAAAUCCUCCAGGAUGAAUGGAAUAAUAAUCCUAAUCAAAGAGUCACAACUCUAAGAAUCAAAACAUUGACAUCAUUUGAUCCAAUUACUUGAUCAACGAACCAAGUUACCCUGGGGAUAACAGCGCAAUCCAUUUCAAGAGCCCCUAUCGACAAAUGGGUUUACGACCUCGAUGUUGGAUCGGGGUAUCCCAGUGGCGCAGCCGCUACUAAAGGUUCGUUUGUUCAACGAUUA